rnacentral:rRNA from 1 species
UACGUAGGGUGCAAGCGUUGUCCGGAAUUAUUGGGCGUAAAGGGCGCGUAGGCGGCCACCGCAAGUCGACUGUGAAAUCUCCGGGCUUAACCCGGAAAGGUCAGCCGAUACUGCGGGGCUAGAGUGCAGAAGGGGCAACUGGAAUUCUCGGUGUAGCGGUGAAAUGCGUAGAUAUCGAGAGGAACACCUGCGGCGAAGGCGGGUUGCUGGGCUGACACUGACGCUGAUGUGCGAAAGCUAGGGGAGCGAACGGG